rnacentral:rRNA from 1 species
UACGAAGGGGGCUAGCGUUGCUCGGAAUCACUGGGCGUAAAGCGCACGUAGGCGGAUUGCUAAGUCAGGAGGAGAAUCCGUGGAGCUCAACUCCAGAACUGCCUUUGAUACUGGCGAUCUCGAGUCCGGGAGAGGUGAGUGGAACUGCGAGUGUAGAGGUGAAAUUCGUAGAUAUUCGCAAGAACACCAGUGGCGAAGGCGGCUCACUGGCCCGGUACUGACGCUGAGGUGCGAAAGCGUGGGGAGCAAACAGG